UACGUAGGGUGCAAGCGUUGUCCGGAAUUAUUGGGCGUAAAGAGCUCGUAGGCGGUCUGUCGCGUCUGCUGUGAAAACUCAGGGCUUAACCCUGAGCUUGCAGUGGGUACGGGCAGACUAGAGUGCGGUAGGGGAGACUGGAAUUCCUGGUGUAGCGGUGAAAUGCGCAGAUAUCAGGAGGAACACCGGCGGCGAAGGCGGCGAUCUGGGUCGAUACUGACGCUGAGGUGCGAAAGCGUGGGGAGCAAACAGG
rnacentral:rRNA from 1 species